rnacentral:lncRNA from 1 species
AAAAAUAAAAAAUCUUUCGAAGCCAUAUUAUUUAUUUAUAAACCAGGUGAAAUACAAACAUACACACACGAACACCUCAAGAUCAUACAUAUUAUCGUUUACAUAGAAUAGAAAGCUUCCUACGCCGGCCAAUGCGAGAUCCUACCAAAUCCCGCUGCGUAGAAACUGUCCAUCUCAUACUUAUGAGCCACCACGGAUUGGCGGGCAGCUCUGCUGAACCGGUCCAGCUGGCGGAAAAUGAUGAACAGAAACAAGUUAGAUAGAAAGGCAACAGAAUUUUCAUGUGUGUUUAUGCAAAUACAACAACAUCGAGUGCUGGCUUACAGUCGUCGCAGGUGGACGGUCCACCUUGUUGCCCGAGGAUGCCACCAAUGAAAACCAGUAAAACCAGGAGGACCAGCAUCAGCCGAACCGAGCUAGCCGAGUACUUGUUUGCCAUCAUGGUUCUGUCGAGCUGGAUGUUUUGCUUUCUUGUUGAACUUGGAGUGGCAAGUUAACAGUUUGUGCAAUGGGUGCUCAACUCAAGUAGCGCUUAUAUAGAGCACAUACGUAGCUU